rnacentral:piRNA from 1 species
UGACUCUUAGACGAUGGGAGAGUUG